AGCUAAAAGUUCCCUUUUAUUUUUAAGUGGUAUUAUUUUUUAAUUGGCAUGCGUGGCUCAGGCGUGUGAGCGUUGGCAUUGUGCACAUAAAUAUUAAAGAUCGUGGUUGUGAGGCUCCAGCGACAAGCCCCAGCCUGGCGGCCUCUGAGGAAAAAAGCCAGAGCUCAGCUCUGCUGCUUUUCUUCACUUUCGGAUGUGAAUCCUGCUGCUGCGUGCUGGUUUCAGAGCCUUUUCCAGAGCCAAUCCAUGUCCCCACCAUGGGCUCCAGCGUGUGCAGUGGGGCAGCCCACAUGUGUCCAAGGCUUGUCCGGAGAGGGCAGUUUCAAAGUGCUCUGCAGCCCAGGAAGUGAGUACAGCAGAGGCACAAGAUUGCAAGGAACUGCCCAGCUGUGUCCUCCAUGCAGUCUUCUGUAUGUGCAGAUGAAGAACUGCUCUGGCCGUGGAAUGAAGAGCCCUGGRUCUUUGGUGGCCAGAUUGUCCCCACCACAGCCAAAAGGACACAUGAGAUCCCAGUGUCAUCUGCUUUUCAGCUCCACGCUGACACUGGAAGAAUCAGCCAUUUUCCAGCUAAGGAGCCAUCUCGAGGUGUCGUCUGUGUCCUCCUUCCCCACCAGCAGAAAAUGAAAUCGUCAGCUGGGUGACCUGCCCCUGUCGAGGCUGCAGAACAGAACGAGCUGCYGCAACACCCUUAUCUCCAAGAGCGGAUUUCUCUGGGAAAUUCUCUCAAGGCCCGGCUGGAAUUUUUAGGGAAGAAUGAGGAAAAGAGAGAAUAAGUAAUUACUUGCAAACCAGUGUAACAGCUUGAGGUGCUGGAGACUGUAUGUGCUGUGCAACCUGGACGUCAGCCUGCCUGCCUACCUGCCUCUCUCAAUUUCUCUUUUCGUCGGUCUUGUCAGAGACGUUC